UUGCCGCAUCGUCUCCUUCUUCCAUCGACCCCUUCUUCCUCUCUAUACAGGAGGACGUCUCCCACCGCAGAUCAAUGCGCCGCCGCCACAGACCAGGUCUCCUUCCUCUUCUUCGAUCCAAGGCAAUCUCUUUCCUGUUCUUUAGUCCAAUCCUUCUAUUUCCUGAUCCAAUCCUUCUUUAACCUGAAACUGUCCGGGGCUCACCCGAUCUCCUCCACCAGCGUGGCCACCAUCCUGAUCCCCUCUUUCUUCUCUACCAUGAGCGCCUACUCAGCCGAGAUUCGCCCGCGAGGAGAGGCAGGGAGCAGCAGCAUGCCCUGGGCAUCCCGUGAGCCCGCCUAAUCCCGCUGUUGCCCUCCGAGAUUCGCCGACCAUAAGCAGUUCCGCGUGCACGGCCAUGGAAAGACCUCCAAGCCGCCGCCGAUUCGUGUACUUCGAGGGCUGCCACCCACAAUGAGGAACACGAGCGUGGUGCGUCGACGUGGCAAACCCGUUCUCCUUCCUCACUACCAUGUGCAGUUCGCCGAUGCCCGUCGCCAACCCAGUCCUUACGCGAACGACACCAUCUGGACCCUGAUUAUCAUGAUUGUAUGAGAGAUUAAUACCAUUGUACCGUGUGUGCUAGCUAGAAACCGUAGGGUGAUGCUUGGUGUAUUCUUGUGUAGUUGUGUUUUCAUCGGAAAAACAUGGAUGUGGGUCAGACUCCAGUUCAUCGCGACUCCAUUAACGGAGUUUGACCACUCUGAAAAAGGUGAUGCUCCGUAUGCAAUGGAGUUUGGCUCUUGCUCUCGAAAAGAUGGUGAACAAGAAGCUGCCCAACCUGCACACUCUUUGUACCUCCCCAUCAAUCAUUGUGUUAGCCAGCAAAAGGGGGAUUAGGGGUACCAUCACCAGACCACGACCUAACGAUGCAUGAUGUUCUCUAUGCCUUCAUGGUUAUUUUUCAAUGUAUGCACUCGCUUUGUACGUGGUGUACGCUACACUGAACGGAGUAUCAAACACUGUUUAAGGCGGUGUGUAUAUGGUUGGAGCAGGUGGUCAGGGAGGUUUUUACCCAACAUGAAUGGCAACAUAAUCUCCGAAUCGGUCCACCACCUCCUUCGACAUAGACAUAGUGUCGGUCCUAUCUGAUUUGCUGUUGUCAAUAUGGCGGUUUCUUAUUUUAUUUUUGUCAGACUUUUGGUGUUUGGCUGUGUGCAUCUCAAUUAUACAGAGGCCGGAUGUGGCUUAUCAUGUUAUUGUAUCCGUUUGAUGGUACAUUUUGAGUUAAUAAAAGUGCCCUUUAUCAGA